GAUGAACGCUGGCGGCGUGCUUAACACAUGCAAGUCGAACGGUGAACACGGAGCUUGCUCUGUGGGAUCAGUGGCGAACGGGUGAGUAACACGUGAGCAACCUGCCCCUGACUCUGGGAUAAGCGCUGGAAACGGCGUCUAAUACUGGAUACGAACCACGAAGGCAUCUUCAGUGGUUGGAAAGAAUUUCGGUUGGGGAUGGGCUCGCGGCCUAUCAGCUUGUUGGUGAGGUAAUGGCUCACCAAGGCGUCGACGGGUAGCCGGCCUGAGAGGGUGACCGGCCACACUGGGACUGAGACACGGCCCAGACUCCUACGGGAGGCAGCAGUGGGGAAUAUUGCACAAUGGGCGAAAGCCUGAUGCAGCAACGCCGCGUGAGGGAUGACGGCCUUCGGGUUGUAAACCUCUUUUAGCAGGGAAGAAGCGAAAGUGACGGUACCUGCAGAAAAAGCGCCGGCUAACUACGUGCCAGCAGCCGCCGCAGUAA
rnacentral:rRNA from 1 species